rnacentral:rRNA from 1 species
ACGAUGAGUGCUAAGUGUUAGAGGGUUUCCGCCCUUUAGUGCUGAAGUUAACGCAUUAAGCACUCCGCCUGGGGAGUACGGCCGCAAGGCUGAAACUCAAAGGAAUUGACGGGGGCCCGCACAAGCGGUGGAGCAUGUGGUUUAAUUCGAAGCAACGCGAAGAACCUUACCAGGUCUUGACAUCCUCUGAAAACCCUAGAGAUAGGGCUUCUCCUUCGGGAGCAGAGUGACAGGUGGUGCAUGGUUGUCGUCAGCUCGUGUCGUGGGAUGUUGGGUUAAGUCCCGCAACUAAGCGCAACCCUUUGAUCUUAGUUGCCAUCAUUAAGUUGGGGCACUCUAACGGUGAGUGCCGGUGACAAACCGGAGGAAGGUGGGGAUGACGUCAAAUCAUCAUGCCCCUUAUGACCUGGGCUACACACCUGCUACAAUGGACGGUACAAAGAGCUGCAAGACCGCGAGGUGGAGCUAAUCUCAUAAAACCGUUCUCAGUUCGGAUUGUAGGCUGCAACUCGCCUACAUGAAGCUGGAAUCGCUAGUAAUCGCGGAUCAGCAUGCCGCGGUGAAU